rnacentral:rRNA from 1 species
CUACGGGUUGCUCCAGUAGGGAAUAUUGGACAAUGGGCGAAAGCCUGAUCCAGCAACGCCGCGUGCACGAUGACGGCCUUCGGGUUGUAAAGUGCUUUUAGAGGAGAUGAGAAAGGACAGUAUCCUCUGAAUAAGCCUCGGCGAACUACGUGCCAGCAGCCGCGGUAAAACGUAGGAGGCAAGCGUUAUCCGGAUUUAUUGGGCGUAAAGCGCGUGCAGGCGGUUUGACAAGUUGGAUGUGAAAGCUCCCGGCUUAACUGGGAGAGGGCGUUCAAAACUGUCAGACUAGAGAAUGGGAGAGGGAGGUGGAAUUCCGGGUGUAGUGGUGAAAUGCGUAGAUAUCCGGAGGAACACCAGUGGCGAAAGCGGCCUCCUAGACCAUUUCUGACGCUAAGACGCGAAAGCUAGGGUAGCAAACGGGAUUAGAUACCCGGGUAGUC